GACCCUCCGGCAGCCAGGCGUCCUCUGGCGUCACCGAGGCGUCACCCACCUUUCCGCCUAUUUAACCGGGGGCCCUCCUCCGUCCGCCUUUCUCUUUACAGACAUCUUCGAGUUUCUCCUUUGCGCUGCCGUCAUUGCCGUCGGACUGUUCGCUUGCUCCUCCUUUGACGCUCUCGGAGCCGUUCUUCCUUCUCUUCCGGUGAGUUGCCCCAUUCUUCAAUUUAAGGCUCUCCAUACUUUCUCCUUUUGUAUUAGUGUACUCCAGUCGUUCCGGUCCUUUCCCCCUUGAGGAUGAUAGUGUUAUUUUGAUGAUUAACAAGCAAUUCUCUAGAGUAUGCUAUAAGUUAAAAUUGAUACUUCAUUUAUGUGAGACACGGGCUGAAGUCGGCAGCCCCUGCCGACUUCAGUCCCGUUCUCUUUUUGGAAGGCCGGAACAGAGGAUCGCGAUUUGCGAUCCUCUCCGGCUCUUCCGGGGAUGAUCGGGGCGGGGAUGUCGCUAGUCCCGCGGCACCCCCGCCCCCCUCCCACGCUCAUCCGCGGCCGAACCGCGGCCGCGGAUCUCGCUCGGCC
rnacentral:lncRNA from 1 species